AAUAAGUGCAGUUUGUACUAUUCAUGUUCAACGUUGACUGUCCGUCUUAUUUGAAAAUUUUUUAUGAUUAGUAUUUUUAUUGCUAUUAGAUAAUAAAACAUGAAUAGUACUUUAUGUGUGACUAAAUGUUUUUAAUUUUUUCAUAAAUUUUUCAAAUAAGACGGACGGUCAAACGUUGAACAUAAAUAGUGCAAAACUACACUUAUU
rfam:Oryza sativa (indica cultivar-group) chromosome 10, whole genome shotgun sequence.